AAGGAGGGGUGUGAGACGGUCACAGCUAAGGAGAGAGUGUUAGAAAGGAGGGGUGUGAGACGGUCACAGCUAAGGAGAGAGUGUUAGAAAGGAGGAGUGUGAGACGGUCACAGCUAAGGAGAGAGUGUUAGAAAGGAGGGGUGUGAGACGGUCACAGCUAAGGAGAGAGUGUUAGAAAGGAGGGGUGUGAGACGGUCACAGCUAAGGAGGAGGGUUAGAAAGGAGGGGUGUGAGACGGUCACAGCUAAGGAGAGAGUGUUAGAAAGGAGGGGUGUGAGACGGUCACAGCUAAGGAGAGAGUGUUAGAAAGGAGGGGUGUGAGACGGUCACAGCAAAGGAGAGAGUGUUAGAAAGGAGGGGUGUGAGACGGUCACAGCUAAGGAGGAGGGUUAGAAAGGAGGGGUGUGAGACGGUCACAGCUAAGGAGAGAGUGUUAGAAAGGAGGAGUGUGAGACGGUCACAGCUAAGGAGAGAGUGUUAGAAAGGAGGAGUGUGAGACGGUCACAGCUAAGGAGAGAGUGUUAGAAAGGAGGGGUGUGAGACGGUCACAGCUAAGGAGAGAGGGUUAGAAAGGAGGAGUGUGAAACGGUCACAGCUAAGGAGGAGGGUUAGAAAGGAGGGGUGUGAGACGGUCACAGCUAAGGAGGAGGGUUAGAAAGGAGGGGUGUGAGACGGUCACAGCUAAGGAGAGAGUGUUAGAAAGGAGGAGUGUGAGACGGUCACAGCUAAGGAGAGAGUGUUAGAAAGGAGGGGUGUGAGACGGUCACAGCUAAGGAGAGAGUGUUAGAAAGGAGGAGUGUGAGACGGUCACAGCUAAGGAGAGAGUGUUAGAAAGGAGGGGUGUGAGACGGUCACAGCUAAGGAGGAGGGUUAGAAAGGAGGGGUGUGAGACGGUCACAGCUAAGGAGAGAGUGUUAGAAAGGAGGAGUGUGAGACGGUCACAGCUAAGGAGAGAGUGUUAGAAAGGAGGGGUGUGAGACGGUCACAGCUAAGGAGAGAGUGUUAGAAAGGAGGAGUGUGAAACGGUCACAGCUAAGGAGAGAGUGUUAGAAAGGAGGGGUGUGAGACGGUCACAGCUAAGGAGGAGGGUUAGAAAGGAGGGGUGUGAGACGGUCACAGCUAAGGAGGAGGGUUAGAAAGGAGGAGUGUGAGAAGGUCACAGCUAAGGAGAGAGGGUUAGAAAGGAGGAGUGUGAGACGGUCACAGCUAAGGAGGAGGGUUAGAAAGGAGGGGUGUGAGACGGUCACAGCUAAGGAGGAGGGUUAGAAAGGAGCCUGAAGAAGUAUGGAAAGAGGGGCCCAACAUAAUGGGAAAGAUUGGGGGUAAAUAAUGCUAGAAAAUGGUGAGAGAGGUGGAAAAACAGCCCUGAUAUUGUGUGAAUGAGUGUGAGGCGACAUUAGAGGUUAUUCAAACUAUGAACAGGGUGAAAGACAAUGUGCUGGUGUGAAUUAGCGGGUUGAAAUCAAGGAACUCUUAACCUCCCUCUCUCUCCUUCUUUCCAUGACUCUUUGUCCCUUUCUUUGUUUCUCCCCCUCACUCUGUUUCACUUUCCCUUGUCCCUUCCUUUAUCUUUCAUUUAUAUGCCUUAUUUCUCCCUCUCUCCUUCCCUUCUCUCUCCCUCCUGUUAGUUGUUUCACCAGUCCAGAGAUUCUAGUUAGUUAUCGGCAGCGUAGCCUAGUGGUUAGAGCGUUGGACUAGUAACCGGAAGGUUGCGAGUUCAAACCCCCGAGCUGACAAGGUACAAAUCUGUCGUUCUGCCCCUGAACAGGCAGUUAACCCACUGUUCCUAGGCCGUCAUUGAAAAUAAGAAUAUGUUCUUAACUGACUUGCCUGGUUAAAUAAAGGUAAAAAAAAAAAUCCAUACCAUCAUGCUUUACCUUCUCCUCCAGCGACAUGUCUACUUACUUUCCCACUGCUCUGGGUGACUGGCCUGGCUGGCUGCUCCCAUCACUGACAUCCUGUCCCCCCCCCAGUCCUAAACCUGUUUCCUCCCCUGUCCCUAAGCCUAUCCGCUCUGCCCCUCACCAGAACACCAGACCCCAUACACACUCAAAAGAGGAAGUGCUCUUAAUCUCACAGCUGUCUAAGCCAAACAGAUCGCUC